rnacentral:rRNA from 1 species
GUCCACGCCCUAAACGAUGUCUACUAGUUGUCGGGUCUUAAUUGACUUGGUAACGCAGCUAACGCGUGAAGUAGACCGCCUGGGGAGUACGGUCGCAAGAUUAAAAACUCAAAGGAAUUGACGGGGACCCGCACAAGCGGUGGAUGAUGUGGAUUAAUUCGAUGCAACGCGAAAAACCUUACCUACCCUUGACAUGGAAGGAAUUCCCGAGAGAUCGGGAAGUGCUCGAAAGAGAACCUUUACACAGGUGCUGCAUGGCUGUCGU